rnacentral:rRNA from 1 species
GACGAACGCUGGCGGCGUGCUUAACACAUGCAAGUCGAACGGAAAGGCCCUGCUUUUGUGGGGUGCUCGAGUGGCGAACGGGUGAGUAACACGUGAGUAACCUGCCCUUGACUUUGGGAUAACUUCAGGAAACUGGGGCUAAUACCGGAUAGGAGCUCCUGCUGCAUGGUGGGGGUUGGAAAGUUUCGGCGGUUGGGGAUGGACUCGCGGCUUAUCAGCUUGUUGGUGGGGUAGUGGCUUACCAAGGCUUUGACGGGUAGCCGGCCUGAGAGGGUGACCGGCCACAUUGGGACUGAGAUACGGCCCAGACUCCUACGGGAGGCAGCAGGGGGGAAUAUUGCACAAUGGGCGGAAGCCUGAUGCAGCAACGCCGCGUGCGUGAUGACGGCCUUCGGGUUGUAAACCGCUUUCGCCGGUGACGAAGCGUGAGUGACGGUAAUGGGUAAAGAAGCACCGGCUAACUACGUG